AUUGAACGCUGGCGGCAGGCCUAACACAUGCCAGUCGAGCGGAUGAAGGGAGCUUGCUCCUGGAUUCAGCGGCGGACGGGUGAGUAAUGCCUAGGAAUCUGCCUGGUAGUGGGGGAUAACGUCCGGAAACGGGCGCUAAUACCGCAUACGUCCUGAGGGAGAAAGUGGGGGAUCUUCGGACCUCACGCUAUCAGAUGAGCCUAGGUCGGAUUAGCUAGUUGGUGGGGUAAAGGCCUACCAAGGCGACGAUCCGUAACUGGUCUGAGAGGAUGAUCAGUCACACUGGAACUGAGACACGGUCCAGACUCCUACGGGAGGCAGCAGUGGGGAAUAUUGGACAAUGGGCGAAAGCCUGAUCCAGCCAUGCCACGUGUGUGAAGAGGGUCUUCGGAUUGUAAAGCACUUUAAGUUGGGAGGAAGGGCAGUAAGUUAAUACCUUGCUGUUUUGACGUUACCAACAGAAUAAGCACCGGCUAACUUCGUG
rnacentral:rRNA from 1 species